rnacentral:rRNA from 1 species
UACGAAGGGUGCUAGCGUUGUUCGGAAUUACUGGGCGUAAAGCGCGCGUAGGCGGCUAUUCAAGUCAGAGGUGAAAUCCCUGGGCUCAACCCAGGAAUUGCCUUUGAAACUGUAUAGCUUGAGUGUCGGAGGGGAUAGCGGAAUUCCUAAUGUAGAGGUGAAAUUCGUAGAUAUUAGGAGGAACACCGGUGGCGAAGGCGGCUAUCUGGACGACAACUGACGCUGAGGCGCGAAAGCACGGGGAUCAAACAGG